rnacentral:lncRNA from 1 species
GACCCAGAUCCCUCCAACCUAAGUGCCAGUCAUUUCAUCGAGCCAGCACUUGUACAGACUCCCAUGGAUAUUGGUGAGGAGAGUGAAGCACAGGCCAGCAUCGCCACACCAGGUCCAUCCGGCCAAGUUGCUGGUAUUCAAUGGGAGCCGGCCCAUGAGCAGGAAUUACAAAGGCCAGAAGACAUGCUGGCACCAUUUGAAACACCAAGAAAAAGAAAGCAGGCAAAGGUAAAGAAGAUGAACAAAUGCAAGCUAUCAGACCAAAGCAAUGCACGUGUAUACAUCAAGAGUAGCACA